rnacentral:piRNA from 1 species
UGGCCUGGAACUCACUAUGUAGAGU